AUUGAACGCUGGAGCGUUAUAAGACAAGGUAAAGCACAUGCAAGUCGAACGGCAGCGCGGGGGCAACCCUGGUGGCGAGUGGCGGACGGGUGAGUAAUACUUCGGAACGUGUCCUGUAGUGGGGGAUAGCCCGGCGAAAGCCGGAUUAAUACCGCAUACGCUCUACGGAGGAAAGGGGGGGAUCUUAGGACCUCCCGCUACAGGGGCGGCCGAUGGCAGAUUAGCUAGUUGGUGGGGUAAAGGCCUACCAAGGCGACGAUCUGUAGCUGGUCUGAGAGGACGACCAGCCACACUGGGACUGAGACACGGCCCAGACUCCUACGGGAGGCAGCAGUGGGGAUUUUUGGACAAUGGGGGCAACCCUGAUCCAGCAAUGCCGCGUGUGUGAAGAAGGCCUUCGGGUUGUAAAGCACUUUUGUCCGGAAAGAAAACGCCGUGGUUAAUACCCGUGGCGGAUGACGGUACCGGAAGAAUAAGCACCGGCUAACUAC
rnacentral:rRNA from 1 species